UGAUCGUAGAACACCUGUCGUGUUCUUACACAACGGCGGAGAUCACCGCGAGCCGGUAUAAAUGAACCAGGGACCGACGAUUUCCCUCGUUGGCAGAUGUUAACCGCGUUAAGACAGAUGUUAACCAAGUUACCUCGAACGAAAUGGCCCGAUCGAUCCGACUCGAUAUUUUCGUCAUUUGCUAGGCAACCGUCAGCGCAGAUAGGACUGAUUUAGCCGGUUCAAUUUUGAAUAUUCAUUGAUCGCGGUUGGUGUGACGGUGUGCACUGGAGACAAUUGCAUUUCCAAGUAGUAGCAACAACAGUCUAAAUUAUAUACUAUAUUGGACGUUUUUGGAACACUAGGAAUUUAUCUUGAUGAGGCAAUAAGAGAACUUUACCCAAUAGGAGAUCUUCAAACGACACUUGAUUCCAUUUAAGGGGAGGGGACCAGGUAGUGUCGGAUUUCUAAUGACUGAAACUUCCACGGUGACCAUGCACAUUGGGAAGCUCCUCAGAACCUAAAAUCUUAAACCUAACCUCCUAAAAAUUAUCCAACUCAUGACAUAUCCGAGUUACCCAGGUUCAGUAGAAUGGUGGAGAACCUGAGGAAAAGAGAAAGAUUAGCAAAACUUGCUAAAAAAAUAUAUGUACUGGUAACAUCUGCAGCUCUGAAGGAGUAUUUUUCACAACUUCAAAAAAGCGGACGAAUUUUAGAAAAUAUGGGACCUCCUUAAUAUUUCUCGACAAAAAUUGAAGAAUAAUUAUUAAUUUAAGUACCUAAUCUAAGGAUAAUUAUUAAUUUAAAUGUCAAUCUAAUUUGGAACAAUUACUUUAUUGUUUUAUCAUUUAUUGCUGAAACAUAAAUUACAUUGUAGACAUCCGAGUAGAAAUAAUAUGUAGUCUCAAUUACUUGAUGGUAAUUUUUGUUUACUUGGGCAUCUCACAGAGUGUAUUUCUAGUAGAGUAACAUCUCUAGUAGAAAAAUAAUGGAGUUACACGCAACAAUGACACUUUUUCAAACUUCUAACAAUUGAACGGUUCUUACGGCACAAAUUCAAUACCUAUUAACAAGAACUGUGAGAUUUGUAAUACAUUCUUAUCGCGCAAAGUCAAUAGAGAUAUCCCUGUGACUCACCGUGUACACCAAAUCACAACGCAAUAUUUUUCAUUAAAUUCUCGCGGAUCGUAUUGACAAUAUCGAAUGAUCGGAAAAUGCAGAAAAUAUAAGAAACAAUAAUAAAAAAAAAAAUCGUAGCGUCAGACCUGCACGCGAAACUAUUUUAAAAGUAUUUCGUUGAUUUCCCAGGGGAGCACAUCCGGUACGUCGCUUUCUUUCUUUCUUUUUU